GCCGGUCGCGGGCCUAGCUGAGCAGGCACUGUGCUUCUGAAGAGCAGCCACCUACUGUCAGGCCUGGAGCGACGGCGUGCAUGACGGCUAAGUGGCCCCUCGGCCUCGGAGAGUCCGAGCUUUUUCGCGCCCGCGCCUUCGCGUUCCAACUUGGAAGCCACACAGCCAGCCUUGUAAACCAGGGGGCGGGGCAGUGCCGCAGGAGGGCGGGUCCGGGGGCGGAGCGGUAGCGCUCGCGCGCGCUCUCCACCAAUCAGGAGGAUUCGGGAGGGCCUGCGGAGCGUGACGUGAUCUGCAAGGCCGAGGGGGCGACCUGCGGCCUACAGAGCCUCGCCUGCCCGCGCGGGGUUGCGCGCGCACUCCGGGCCUCGUAGGCACGUUCAACCCCGUCGUGACUUAAAAGACGUGACGCUAGUAGGUCCUUUCUCGCUCCCCCGAACCUCCCGGAGCUGGUGACAGCCAGGUGGCGUGCGCACCGAGGGAACCAGCGAGCCUCUCCAAAGUUUUCAAGUACACUCCCGGAAGCCCUCUGGCGGGGGGGGGGGGGGGGGGGGGCAACCGGCCCACCUAACCAGUUUCUGCGCCAGGUGGAGCGCAGUGAGGGUCUCGGUGUGGGAGACCUGUCCCCGGGACAGGGCUCUUGUGGCCAGGCAGGAGGGAAGGCACUUCAGGAGAGCUGCUAUAAGAGGUAGUCGGGGCCGUCUGUGGUUGUGCUGUGCCCCCAAAUCCAAGACCUCCAGUGACAUCCUGGCUCUCUGUGCGUGUGGAUGGGUCCUGUGCCGGUUGUCUUGCCUUGUGUUCCUUUGCAGUUCCCUGGAAUGGAUUGGACGGAGUGAAGCGUGCAGAAUCUGUGUUCUCUUUCCCCACAAAUGUCAGAAUUGGGUCUUCCCUUGUCCAGCUGGCUCUUGGGGAGGGGUGGCAUUUCCUGGGGUGUAGAAGAUUGCCUGAAGGAGAGCCCAAGGUGGCUGUAGGCAGGACAUGGGAUCAGAGAGGCCGAGAGGCUCGCCCAGUCACACAGCCAGAGAGGAGUUGAGAUGGCAAUGGUGUCCCUCAUGUCUGGGCUUCCUUCUGUCCAAGAAACAGCUGCUUGAGAUUACAGGGCAAGGAAUUGCCAGAAGAGUUUGAAGAUCUGGAUCCCGUGCCUAAAAUAGUAUGGCUCAGAAGGGCCUAAGAAGAGAGCUUGGGGCAUUGCUGGCACUUGGUAAAUAUUUGUUCAAUGAAUGGAUUUUUAUAGAUGGGAAACAAGAAAUGACCAAAAUGUGUUCUCUCUUCAGGAGACCACUGAAAACCAGCACAUAUGGGUGGGCAUCAAACAACAAGCAAAUUUUAACAUUCUCGGUGGGCAAAAUACUGGUGUUUUGAAUCAGUGUGCUACAGCUCAAGGUCAUGUAUUCAAAGUAGAAGAAUAUUAACUUUCAAAAAACUUUAGCACAAACCACCUGGGAAUAAUGAUACUUGUGUGCAAUGAAAAGAAGUUUUAGCACAUGCGCACAGACCCGGAAAAGAAUCUCCAUGAAACAAUGUAAGGUGUUUAGAAUCAGAUUAUGCCUCUGUUACUUUUCUAAGACAGGUUUCCAAUGAUUUUCCUAGUAACUGAGAUGACAUUAUAGAGAAAAUGUUGCCAAGAGCCACCCGUUGACUUGGUUGUGGCAUUUCCUCCAUUGUUACAAAGUUGAAGAGUGAGUCUCCACCAUGCUAUAGCUUUGCAGGAGGAGUGGGGGAAAUACGUUACAAAACCGCACAGAGAAUGGCCCCACUUCAGUAAGGAUCGAGUUACCCGCGUCAUCCUAAUUUUCCCUUUCUCUACUGUCCGGCAACUUGAAAUGAAUGCCUAUGUUAAAAAUUGCCUUUAUAUUAACAUUAACAACUCAGGCAACAACAGAUGUUGGCGAGGAUGCGGAGAAAGACUAUGUCUUUUGCACUGCUGGUGGGAAUGCAAACUGGUGCAGA